UAGGGUUCUUUGGAUCGGGAGCUGGCACGGGCGGAUCGAUCCAUCCGGCAUGCCUGUGAGUAGCUUUGAUGGGACACGCAUUUGCGCUCGACUGAGCUAGAGGCACCGGGAGUAGUGCGCUAUUUGCUGGGAGCUGUGAUCAUGUUUACUGGUGUGAUCCUGCCACUGAUUUUCAUGCUGUUUCGGAAUCGCCGUGUUCCAAGCGCCGCUCCCUUUGCCAAGCAGACGCCAUUUUGAGAACCUUUGUUCCAAUCACUUUUGUAAAUUUAUUCCACCUGGCCACACGAAGUUCCCAGGUUUUUGAAAGAACCAGGUUUGUUUUACGAAGGUCUCCUCAAAAUGUUGGUAAAAGUCUCUUGAUUUC